rnacentral:lncRNA from 1 species
AAGCGCCUUGGGAAGCAGUUGAGCGUCGACCUCCCAGCUUGCCGAUCGAGGGUUGUUUUCAUCAUUAUUAGAGCUUUAUAUGUGUUCUAUCGGUAUACCUUCAGCUACACGGUAAGCAUGAACAUAGUUGCACAUUAGAAACAAAGCUCCAUUCACAGUUUCAAUCUAUCUAAUCGCUGAAAACAAAAGACUUUUCAAUUUAAUCAUUUUCUUCAUUGCUGAAUUCCUUCGUCUCCUCAAGUGAGUGUUCACAGAUAUUCCUAUUGUGCUACUUUGUGAAAUUUGUUUUACAAAUGACUAAAUAGUUGUUGUAACUUUAAGGUUUGAGCGCUCAUUGUGCACGCUAGGUAUUGGAUGAAAUUCCUCUCCCACAUCAAAACUCUAUGGAUUCGUUUCGACUUUCAAUGAUAAAUUCUAAAUACGAAUCAAAGGGUAGUUUAUUGUAGAUUUCGUUGUAAGAAGAACGUGUUUGAUAAUUUGGUAGACUUCUUUUUCAUCUUGCUCUUCUCCUCUUUUUAGAAGUAUUCCUUUUUAUUGCAUUAAUUUACACCUGAAUCAAGUACUCUUACCAACAGUGAAGUUAUAAACCAUUUGAUUCUUCGAUAUCAACCGUUUGCAGCUAUAAUAGGCUCCGUCGGUAUAAUAUUCUUCAUAUAGUAUUCUACACUUUAUAGAUGAGACAUUUAUUAUACAAACAAGAACAAUAAAUAACGUCAUGCUUGAUUAUUUGUGAAGUUGUUUCCUAAGGAUGAAACUACCAAAUGGUUUGAAGAAGUGGUGCCACAGUAUCCUAAUUUGCUUUUGAUAUUGCCUUUAUUGACAAAAACUCAUUAUGAAAACGCUGAUGAUGGAAUUUUGAAAGGAGUUAAAACUGGUCUUUGCUUAUUGGAAUCACAAGAGCCUGGCAUUAUCUUUCUUAGUCAGGUAGUAGUACUUUAGAAUUUUGUUUUUUCAAAAACACCCCUUUACUUUACUUUCCUCUGUUUCUAGUGUUCUAAUCAUCCCACAAAAAAAAUGUAAGGUUAAGAUUAGGAGAAGAAUUUAUUUUUUUUUUACGUUGAUUAGUUUUUUUCUAUUUUAUAUAAUUUACAACUAUGUGCAUAAUCCUAUAACUACAUGUUUAUCAAUUACUUAAUGCAGUUGGUAAAAACUCAUGUUCCUAGCCUACCAUCAUUAUCGGUCUGUUUUGGCCCUGAAGUUUUGUUAUCGUCAUUUGCUACUUUAACUCAGUACACUAAGCAUGGAAGGACUAUUAAUGCCUACUAACACCAUCUUAUUUUCUUAUUUUUGCAUCCACAGAAAUGCCUUUAUUGAGAUUAUAAGAAGUCCUUUACCUUCACAAUAUACGGGAUGGAGAGCUAUACUCUGGAGGAUUAUUCCCCACUCAAUCAUUAAGCUAUGUUUUGAUUUCAGCGAUCUAUUUUUGUGAGUUUUUUUAAGAGAAAUGUAGUGCAAAAGGUUCAUUGUGAUAAAUUUUAUUUCAUCAUAGUUUGAUUCAUUCUUUUAAACUUCUAUUACUCUUUCACUUUACAUUAUUAUUCUCUAUUUCUUAGAAGUACUAUUUUCACUGGUAUUUCUAUACACAUGAAAGACUAAAGGAGUUGCGGUUGUCAUCAGUUUAAUUAUGGAACCAAAAUGACAUACUAAUAACAAUUAGUUUUCUUGAUAUUGAGUACUCCUUUGUCCACCCUUCAUCUUUGUCAUUAUCAGGCUCGUGAUAGAUAUUUUUCUGACACUUACAUUUUCUCUUCUACUCUUGUUUAUGCAAUAAUUAUUAAGUUUAUCGUUGUUGUCAUUUAAGUUAAUAUUUUGAUGUGAUGUAGCCUUAAUAUUCUUGGUUUUAUUGUUUACUCUUCAUUCUAGCUUGCCUGUGGAGGAUUAGCUGGAUCUACUGGCUUCUGAAAUCUUAUCAUAAUUCAUGUAGUUAAACAACAAUGUCCCUUAGGAUCAAGCACGUCAAUUCCAGAUUAGUUGAUGAAAUAAUUAAACACAAAUUAUAAUUAUGUAUCUCAUACUUAAACAUUUCCCAGAUGGAUAAACUAAUCUCUAAUUUAUUUAAAAGCUCCUAAUGAAAUAGUUUCUAAUCUUAGGUAGUCAAUAUUGUUUAAUUCUCUGAUGCUGAAAACUCUCUUCUUUGCUUGGCAGUAAACCUAAAAUAAUUCACUUGAUGUCAUUUAUAUUCUUGCAAAAUUUGAAUGAAUAGGCUAAAGAUAAGCUCGAGAAGUUUAUGGUGGUUGACAAUGAGUCGAGAAAAAGGAAAAGGUUUAUAAAAUCAUAUUUUAUCUACAAUUUCCCUUCUUUAUGAUGUAUCAAUCUUGGCUCUUUACUUUCAGAAUAUAAUGUUUCUUCAUUUUAGAUGCAUUUAUACACUUCUAUCCAUUUAUUGAUAUGUUCAUUUAAAUCAUUUUGUAACAUAAUUUAUUAGGGGAGAAAAUAAGGGCAUUAGUGAUUUGAGAAAUGGCCAUAUUUUCAUUCUCUUGUAGAUAUCAGUUCACAUGGAAUUCCUAUAUAACAAGUGUAACAAUAUUUUAUUUGAAAAACUGGAAGAUGGUUUGCUAAUGUAGAUUUUGAGAGACACCAACUAUUAAACAAAAUAUUAUAAAUACAAGACAGCCAAUCAGAAAUGUCAUGGAAUCUCUCGCUGUUCGGGGUUUUCAUGAAAGUUUUUUCUCAUUGAUUUUGUAUCAGUUUUAUAUGGAAUUCAUGUUUGAGAAUCAAUACAAGUUACUUGCUCGGUCAGGAAAUAGAGUACAAAAGGUAAAAUUUCAAUGUCGACCUUGUUUUGCAAUAAUGUAACAUCACGACUCUAUCUAUCAGUUCUCUUUAUAUAAAAGAAGGGUAAAUUUGCAGUUUUGAAAGCUAUUCAUGAAAUCAUGACUAAAAUAUUUAAUUUUCUUGUUCAUAUCAAUUGAGUAUUUAAUUGAAGCUUUUAUGAUAACUGAAAGUGUAAAAUGCAUGAUGUGUUGUAGUCUUAACAAACUUAUUGGAUAAAUUAUCAUCUUUCCAUAUGAAUGAAAUUUCUAUAAUUUAACACAGAGGGUUUGACUUAAUGGUCAAUGAAGAUUGAGAACCAUGUGUCCUCAGCCUCUUAGGUUCAUAUGCCAAACAACAACCCCUUAAACUUACCUGUGAGUCUUAUUUAGAUACUUAAAACUACUGUAUUUCCUAAUGAACACCUAAUAAAGUGAUUUUGUUUGAGACUUCUGUUGAAAUUUUGAAAAGUUUUUGUGCAUACUCUCAAGCGCCUAUUACGUAUAAAAAUUUAAGGAGUUGUUGAUGUAUUCAUUCUCAGUACUAAGUACCAUUUAACCAAAGAUGUAUAUGCAUAGGUAAGUUUUUUUUAUGCCAAUAUUCAUUGCUGCUAUCUGAACAUUGUUUUGUGCAGGUAAUGACUAGUCUUUCUGUGGAGGCAACAAAUAGAUUGUAAGGCAUUGAAAGCGAAAUAGAAGAGGUUCAAAUUAGUAGCUACAACAACAGAAGUGGAGAAAAGAAAUGACUUAACAAUGUCCCAUUCUGAACAAAAAUGGUAUCGCUUUAGUAUUUAGACCGGGAUAUCCCUGAGUUAGGAGCUUGUUUCCUGACUAGGAAGUUUUUUGUGUUCAUACAUCAAUGUAAUAUUAUCGCUAAAUAUGCCAAGUAAUUAUUCUAGGAAGAGCUUGAUAAGCAAGUUUCAAUAAAUGCUUUGUGUGUUAACAUAUGAAAUUCAUCUAUAUGUAUCUUUAACCCAAAAUGUUGGGCCUUUUCUUGCACGGGCCUCUACCAUCUAGUAUUUUUAGAAGAAAGAUCAC